UCAAUAUUUUGUUGGACGCGACGAAGUC
rnacentral:sRNA from 1 species